GACCUCCCGGCCGCGCGCGGCCGCUGGACCCGGCGCUGUACAUGCGCCCCAGAAAUGACCCCCAGGAAUCCAAGCAGCCAGUGCAGGUGGCCCAAGAUGGACACCAGGUGCCCUCCCCACAUGAAGAAUUUCCAAAUGCUCUGGGCACCCAUUUCCAGAUCCUCCUUGAGGAAGACAGAGAGCAAGGAUGCCAUCAAUGUAGGGCCAGGCCUUGGCUCCCAUCUGCAGCACCUCCUGGCCAGGAGGAGGAGUACAAACUGGGAAAUGUGCUGAUGGGAGAAGUAGAAUUAAGCACCUUCCUGGCCCACAUGUCAUGCCUCCAGACUAAUGCUGGCUUCCUGAAGAAGGGUCUGCAAGUGUUAGACUUCAGGGAAGUCCAUGGUCCCUUGAUCAAAAAUCAGAUUCAUCUCUGUAGGUAAUUCUGUUCCGUGAAGUCCCAGCUACAGGUCACAGGAGCCACAGCCCUGACUCCAGAACCCGCCUGGUGGCAGCAGGCUGUAAUUGCAGACUAGAGUGCAUCUGCUGUGCCUACUUCUGACCUGUUUCUACAGAAGUGUGCUGGCGUUGGAGAUACUGCGAUGAGCAGAGUAUCAGGCCACACUGGUGGGAGGCCUGACACUCAAAGCCUCAUCUCUUACCUUGCUUGCAUUUCCAGCAGAGGUCUCAGGCUCCUUUCCUGAAGUGCGCGCCCCCUUCUCCCCACAAGAGCAAACACAGCUGCAGCAUUUUGGGGGCUUCAGGAUUUAAAUGUAUGCAUUCCAGGAACCCUUCCCAUAAACCCAUGAGCCUGCUGCUUCUCCCGUCCUCCUGUCCCCGCCCCACCCCCGUGUUCUAUUAUGUCCAUCUGACAUAUGAGAAAACUGAGGUAUAGAGGAAGUCAUUUCCUCAUGUCACUCAGCCAAUGAGUGGCAGAGUAGAUUUCACCAUGGCAACUGACCCCAGAAGCCAUACUUAUGACCAGUAGGCUACACCACCUCCUAGUCAGCCUGCAGAUUCAGUCCGAAGUUGCUCUGCAUGUCCCAGUGUAGACCAGCACUAUUGACCUUGUAUCAUUGAACUUUGCAAAACUCACUUAUUUACUCUAGUAGCUUUUUUGGGGUAGAUUCUUUAUGACUUCUAUGGAAGUACACGAUCAUAGAAGUUGUCUGUGAAUAAAGGCAGUUUUCCUUCUUCCUUUCCAAUCCAGAUGCCUUUGAUUUCCUUUCUAUUGCAUGGUUCAAGACCUCCAGGCAUAGAGGAUUCUAGGUAGAGGCCACUGGUCCACUUUGAAACCCUGCUUGACAAUUCACUAGCUGUGUGACCUUGGACAAAUCAAUUAAUGUCUCUGUGCCUCAGGUUCCUCAAAUGGAAAAUGGGGUGAUACUCAGCUCCUAAGGAUGUUGGGAGGAUUAAGUGGGAGAAUGUAUAUAAAUGAAUAAAGCACAUGGCUUGGAUCCUGACCUAGUACAUAGUAAAUGCUCAAUAAAUGGGAGCUGUUGUUGAUACUAGGAUGCCUUUGGUGGGUGAGAAAGAUUGUAGCUACUUCUACCACGCACUCUGCUGGGCCCUCCCCAGAGGGCAUCUAAAGCAGCUGUCCCUCCCUCUUCUCCUGCCCUAUCCUAUAGCCAGUAUCCUUGGAUCUCUUGAAAUGGA